UUGCUAAGGCUGAUGGCGACCGGCGCACGGGUGAGUAACACGUAUCCAACCUGCCGUCUACUCUUGGCCAGCCUUCUGAAAGGAAGAUUAAUCCAGGAUGGCAUCAUGAGUUCACAUGUCCGCAUGAUUAAAGGUAUUUUCCGGUAGACGAUGGGGAUGCGUUCCAUUAGAUAGUAGGCGGGGUAACGGCCCACCUAGUCAACGAUGGAUAGGGGUUCUGAGAGGAAGGUCCCCCACAUUGGAACUGAGACACGGUCCAAACUCCUACGGGAGGCAGCAGUGAGGAAUAUUGGUCAAUGGGCGAUGGCCUGAACCAGCCAAGUAGCGUGAAGGAUGACUGCCCUAUGGGUUGUAAACUUCUUUUAUAAAGGAAUAAAGUCGGGUAUGCACACCCGUUUGCAUGUACUUUAUGAAUAAGGAUCGGCUAACUCCGUGCCAGCAGCCGCGGUAAUACGGAGGAUCCGAGCGUUAUCCGGAUUUAUUGGGUUUAAAGGGAGCGUAGAUGGAUGUUUAAGUCAGUUGUGAAAGUUUGCGGCUCAACCGUAAAAUUGCAGUUGAUACUGGAUGUCUUGAGUGCAGUUGAGGCAGGCGGAAUUCGUGGUGUAGCGGUGAAAUGCUUAGAUAUCACGAAGAACUCCGAUUGCGAA
rnacentral:rRNA from 1 species